CACCCAGGCCUCUUUUUCCUCUCCAGCACCAGGCCUCUGCUCAGCAGCCUCUCUGUGCUGGAGACGGGACCUAGGACCCAGAUACUCCAGCUGCAAACAAGUUCCUAGAAAGUCCAGUGAAAUGGAUAUCAUUCCUUUUCUGGCAGGAUGGGGAAGGCGCUACCUCUGGGACUGCUCAGCAAGGAAGACUGGAGACUUAUGCUGGGGAGAAAAUGAAUAGAACCAGCCCCUUCUCUUAUGCUCACAAUUCCACACCUUCAGCCACCCCCUAUUCUUUAGUCCCUCUGAGCUGAACGAAUGAUUCCCAGCCAAGAGAUCAGGCCCUAUAGCUUUGCCUAUUCCAGAACAUCAUAGAAAUAGAAUCAUACGGGAUGCAGCCUUGAACCUGGCUUCUUUUGUUUGGCAUAACAUGAUGCUUUUGAGAUUCAUCCCGGUUGUGGCACCUGUCAAUAGCUGACUCCAUGUUAUUGCUGAGUUGUAUUCCAACGUCACAGUUGGUUUCUCAUUCACACUGAUUAUCCAGUUGUUUCCAGUGUUUGAUGAUUAUAAAUAAAGCUACCAUAACAUUUGUGCAGAAGUUUUUGUGUAAAAAUAUCUUUUCAUUUCUCUUGGCUGGGAUUGUUGGGUCACAUGACAAAUCCAUGUUCAGUUUUGUAAGAAAUGGUCAAA